GAUGAACGCUGGCGGCGUGCCUAAUACAUGCAAGUCGAGCGAACAGACGAGGAGCUUGCUCCUCUGACGUUAGCGGCGGACGGGUGAGUAACACGUGGAUAACCUACCUAUAAGACUGGGAUAACUUCGGGAAACCGGAGCUAUUACCGGAUAAUAUAUUGAACCGCAUGGUUCAAUAGUGAAAGACGGUUUUGCUGUCACUUAUAGAUGGAUCCGCGCCGCAUUAGCUAGUUGGUAAGGUAACGGCUUACCAAGGCGACGAUGCGUAGCCGACCUGAGAGGGUGAUCGGCCACACUGGAACUGAGACACGGUCCAGACUCCUACGGGAGGCAGCAGUAGGGAAUCUUCCGCAAUGGGCGAAAGCCUGACGGAGCAACGCCGCGUGAGUGAUGAAGGUCUUCGGAUCGUAAAACUCUGUUAUUAGGGAAGAACAAAUGUGUAAGUAACUAUGCACGUCUUGACGGUACCUAAUCAGAAAGCCACGGCUAACUACGUG
rnacentral:rRNA from 1 species